rnacentral:rRNA from 1 species
GAGGAAAAGAAACCAACAGGGAUUGCCUCAGUAGCGGCGAGUGAGCGGCAAAAGCUCAAAUUUGAAAUCUGGCGUCUUUGGCGUCCGAGUUGUAAUUUGAAGAAGGUAUCUUUGGGCCCGGCUCUUGUCUAUGUUCCUUGGAACAGGACGUCACAGAGGGUGAGAAUCCCGUGCGAUGAGAUGACCCGGGUCUGUGUAAAGUUCCUUCGACGAGUCGAGUUGUUUGGGAAUGCAGCUCUAAGUGGGUGGUAAAUUCCAUCUAAAGCUAAAUAUUGGCGAGAGACCGAUAGCGAACAAGUACAGUGAUGGAAAGAUGAAAAGAACUUUGAAAAGAGAGUGAAAAAGUACGUGAAAUUGUUGAAAGGGAAGGGCUUGAGAUCAGACUUGGUAUUUUGCAUGCUGCUCUCUCGGGGGCGGCCGCUGCGGUUUACCGGGCCAGCAUCGGUUUGGAGCGGCAGGAUAAUGGCGGAGGAAUGUGGCACGGCUUCUGCUGUGUGUUAUAGCCUCUGACGAUACUGCCAGCCUAGACCGAGGACUGCGGUUUUUACCUAGGAUGUUGGCAUAAUGAUCUUAAGUCGCCCGUCUUGAA